GGGAAUAUUGCACAAUGGGGGAAACCCUGAUGCAGCGACGCCGCGUGAGUGAAGAAGUAUUUCGGUAUGUAAAGCUCUAUCAGCAGGGAAGAUAAUGACGGUACCUGACUAAGAAGCCCCGGCUAACUACGUGCCAGCAGCCGCGGUAAUACGUAGGGGGCAAGCGUUAUCCGGAUUUACUGGGUGUAAAGGGAGCGUAGGUGGCAGGGCAAGUCAGAUGUGAAAACCCGGGGCCCAACCCCGGAACUGCUUUGGAAACUGUGCAGCUCGAGUGCAGGAGAGGUAAGCGGAAUUCCUAGUGUAGCGGUGAAAUGCGUAGAUAUUAGGAGGAACACCAGUGGCGAAGGCGGCUUACUGGACUGUAACUGACGUUGAGGCUCGAAAGCGUGGGGAGCAAACAG
rnacentral:rRNA from 1 species